UUUAGAGUUAGGAAAGAAAGCAAGUGAAACGGAUAGACACACUGCCCUCCUGCUUGCGGAAAGGAAUGUAUUUCCUAAUGAUCUUGUCCCUUCUAGGAGAAAUAACAGGUGAGACUUUCUUUCACCAACAAGAACAUGGAAAUCUUGUACUUCAGUGCAAUCAGCCAGUUGCUAAAGAAAGUAAGAGAACAGAUUGGUAUAAGACAGCAGACGAUAUGCAACAAUUUGAGUUAAUUAACUGCUCUUCCAAGUGUAAUCACUUGUGUACAGAAACAGUUUGCAAUGAAACCUUAGAGGUGGCACGAGUUUCAUCUGCUGGGAGGAUGUUUGCAUGUGGAGCACUUUCAAGUGAUGAAGAACCAAUGACUUCCCUACUAUUCAGCAAUGCGUCUCACUGCAGGCGCUAUAGCUUCUUUCUUGUACAGACUAAAACCGAAUCAGGGAAAAAGAGCUCAGGCAAUGUUCAGGAAAAAUCCCAAGUCUCUCUCAAAUUCAAAGAAACAGAUAACAUCACCCUGUCUUGUGAAUUUUACACUAACUGCUCAGGACACUGUUUUUUUAUGUACUGGAUCAGAGUCAGUAAAACAAGUGAAUGCCUUUUUUCUGCUGCGAAUGAAGCCCUGGCCCCAAGCUUGACUUUUAAUGAGCACUGCUGUGUUGAUCGCAACAUCCAGGAACGACUGCUGAACAAUACAAACUUCAAUUCCACUCACAAAAGACAUAACAUGACUAUCCUGAACGUCACGAGUGCUGACAGCGGGCAAUAUUUAUGCAUUGUUGCUGCCUGGCAACAUGGUAAACUUGAGUGGCAAGUUCCUACUAACCGGUCGGUGGAUGUUCAGAAAGACCAAACGGCACCUAUGCAGUGGCAUGUCAUCUCUGGAGCUGUAGCUGGGAUUAUUUUUCUCAAUGUGACAGUAGGACUGAUCUGUCUGAAGAUAUUCAAAUCAAAAGGGAAAAAAACAACCACACAAGUUACCAGAGAUCACGAUGCUAUUGGAAUGACAGAAGAUGAAUGUUCUCCAUAUGCAGUAAGUGGCAGCAGCGACAUGUACAGAAAUGAGAGCCUUUACUCCCGUGUAACAAGGACCUGCACGGAGCCAAAUGGGCCCUCUUCUAGCCCAGAUAACAGGGCUACUGGGGCAGGACAGGGAGCAGAUAUACGUACUGUCUAUGCACUGCUGAAUAAAUAGCUGUUUCAGAUACCUUAGGAGGUGAAGGUGAAAGCAUUACUUUUUGCAAAUUACAUGGCAGUCUGAAUGCCAGCUGGCUAGAUAUAUUAGCUUUAUUGCUAGAAUGUCUGUAUAUUCAUGGAUCAAUAUACUCCAAGUACACGAAUUGCCUGGUAAAAUGUUUCUUACUAUAGCACUAUGGAAAAUUUACUUCUUACUUCUGCAUCAAGAAAACUAUGAGUUACAGGUUUUAUUUCUGGCCAAAAAAUCUUGCGAAACAGUGUGGCUCAUUUUCUGCAAAUCUUCUCCCAGUAACGCGUACAAGGAAGACUGUGACCACCUUCAAACCGGCACAGGGGUGGGGAAGCCAGAGCAGAAAGAGCGCUGCAGGGCGCUCGGCACCUCAUGCCACUUCUAGAGCGCAGGAACUGCCCCGCUGGUGGCUCUGGGGGCCAGGCUGGCAGGGGAGCACGGCACGGGGAGAAGGGUCCCCUGCAGCCCCUGCCCGGGGGGGCCCGACAUCACUGCAGGGCAGCACCAGCGUGGGGGCAGCUCCACAAAGCAAGUCAGUAGUUUGCCUCCUCGUUAGGCUGAUCCAAUAUUUUGGCACAUUAGAUUUGUUACAGAACACUGUUUUACAAAAGUAUUUGUGAAUUCCGGCUGAUUUCAGCAGCCAGGAUUCCCUAAAAUUACUUUCUGGGAAAGUCAGAAUAUUUUAUUUUGACAUAUAUGAAGCAAAUCUUUCUGAUUUUUAGUUUAUAUAUUAGUGUUUCUGCUUCAAGUUUGACUUUUUUUUUUUUAAGGCAUAUUACCCCUUGAUAAUACAACAUUUUUAGAUGGACCUGAACUGAGAUUCCAAAUGAAUUCACAAAAUACUGAAUAGCCUUUAGAUGCAGAUAAUUUUUUUCUCUGCAGUCCAAACUAUGUAAACUAAUACAUGGAUUCUUCGCUAUUAGGCUACAUGUAUUAGCAGGUUCUAACUCUACAGUAGCUGCAAGAAUAAAAGCAAAAUAGCUUUUUUUUUUUUUCCUGGA
ensembl:lncRNA uncharacterized LOC112974736